rnacentral:rRNA from 1 species
UACGGAGGGGGCUAGCGUUAUUCGGAAUUAUUGGGCGUAAAGGGCGCGUAGGCGGCCCGGUAAGUCAAAGGUGAAAUCCCUCGGCUCAACUGAGGAACUGCCUUUGAAACUGUCGGGCUUGAGGCCGGGAGGGGGUAGCGGAAUUCCCAGUGUAGCGGUGAAAUGCGUAGAUAUUGGGAGGAACACCCGUGGCGAAAGCGGCUCUCUGGAACGGUACUGACGCUGAGACGCGAAAGCGUGGGGAGCGAACAGG